AUGGCCUGCACGCCCACCGAUGGCCCCACCAUGGACGUCCCCAUGGUACACAGAAGCUGCCCGCCCAGAGGCGGCGGCGUCUCCACCAAUUUCAAGGUUACUUGUGACUUCGGUGGAACGGUGGAGAACGCCAAGGUGAACGUCAGCAAGUUGUAUCUACGCCAAAUCUUUGCGGGCUGCAACGCGAAUCAGUCAAACGUGAUACAGCCCAAUGCCGCGACAGGGCUUGGUAAAACUGUUGUGAACAAUUGGGGGAUCUAUGACGGCCCUUGCUCCCAGGCGAAACUGGUUGCCCACGGGCACGGCAUGCACACACUUGCCGGCAAAUGGAGCAAUUGGUUCACCCUGGUGUUUGUGGCCGGAAGGUUCAAAGGGUCCACUCUUCAGGUUAUGGGAGCUAAUGAUGAUGAUGAAGAAAAUGAGUGGGCCAUUGUAGGUGGGACCGGUGAAUUCUCAAUGGCACGUGGUGUCAUCAACAAAAGAGUACACAGUUGCAUAGGCAAUACAAUAACACAAGAGCUUACUAUUGAAUUUUUCUGCCGCAUGAAGGAGGUCGUCGUCUGUCCACCUACACAGAUCGCUCCACCUAUAGAGAUCACUGCACCUACAAAGAUCCAUGCACCUAUAAAGCAAGGACCAUGGGGUGGAAUGACUGGAGGCUCCCUUCAUGAAAUGGGAGGCAAAUCACGUCGUCUAGAAAGUGUAACAAUCUACCAUCAUGGUGCAGUUGAAGGGCUUCAGUUUUCCUACGUUGACGAAGACGGGCAAAUCCACACCACUGAUACUUGGGGUGUCAAUCGGGGCUUGUUCACGAACGAAAUAAAGUUUGGCCCAUCAGAGUUUGUGAAGCAGAUCAGUGGGGCUGGGACAUUGGGAUCCUGGCUAUCACAACUUAAGAUCGUCACCAACACCAAUACGUAUGGUCCUUUCGGAACUAUCCCCAGCCAAGCAUUCAGCUAUACCGUGCCGGAGAAUGCGACCGUGGUGGGCUUCUUUGCAGAAACUCUAAAUGUUUUCAUCACAAGGAUUGGUGUUUACACAAUCCCUAAAUAA
rnacentral:rRNA from 1 species